UUCCUCUCUCUCUCCCGUGUUUCUCUCUCUCCCUUCCUAUCACCAUAAACGUACGGACAAACACCAAACUCACCCAAAUCAGCACAGAUCGAGGGAACCAACUGCACCAUUGAACUCGUGAGGCCGAGGGGAGUCCAGUGGUACCAUUUUCAGGCUCGUAGAUGUCUUUGUGAGGUUCCCAGGAGCUUGGGAGUAGCUCGUUGGGCUAAUUUGGACGUCGGGAUCGUCCUGUACGAUGUUGGUCGGUUUUUGAUUUCGUGGACAGGUGACACGUAUCCCGAGGACGAGCGUGCACAUUCGAGGCAGGGGGGCUAUGACCCUUCCAC